CAGAAAAUCCCUCUUAUGGAACCUGUGGUGCAUGCUCGCUUCCGCGGCCAAGAUCGAGGCCAUGAUGGGGUUUUUUGGCAACAAAGAAAAUCUCACUCAAUGCUUCCUUCAAAACACGCGCAAUCCCCUCACCUACAAUAUCUAGGGUUUCCAAUUGAAUCGUUCGACUCAACAAAGAUUCAAUCCAUGGUAGGGAUUCUUGUGUGAUUGACGCUCGGCAGUGGUGUGGGUGGUGGUGGAGAUGAACGCGGCGUCGAUGGAGACGACGGAGGUGCUAAGGAAGAUGGGCGUGAUGUAUAGGCAUUUGGUUUGCAAGAAGAAUUCGACAGAUGUGAAGGACAGAGGGGUUCAUCAGAGGAACACGGCGUUGGAGCACAUUGAGCGCCAUAGGCUUGAUGGGAUUGUUUUCUUUGCGAACGAUGAUAAUGUGUAUUCUCUCGAGUUAUUUGAUGCCUUGAGAGACAUUAGAAGUUACUGAUCAUGGUCUGGUUCCAAGACACGUCAAGAAGGUUGCUAUCCUUGGUGGAGGACUAAUGGGCUCUGUACUUAUUGAGUUAGAGAAGAAAAAGAUUAGCACGUGCAUAAUAAUUGCGGCUGUAAUAGCAGCAGUUGCUUGUGUUUUAGCAAUAUCUGCAAUAAUCAUUCUCCUGAUGUCUAGAAGACAUAAGAAAUACCAGCCCAAGUUUUCCAGGAAACGGAUGUAGUGCCUCGGUGGAGCAGGCAAAGGCGCGGUUGUAAGAAAUAAAUAGCUCGUUACGUGUUUACUUUAUUUAAUUUUCCGUGCCCCGAUAUAUCUUCUAUCAAGUGGUAGGAAUUACACAAAUUGUUUUUGUGUAAUUUGUAAACAAAUUUCUAAAGCUAUAAUUAUAUAUGUUC